AGUGAACGCUGGCGGCAGGCCUAAUACAUGCAAGUCGAACGGCAGCACAGUAAGAGCUUGCUCCUACGGGUGGCGAGUGGCGGAUGGGUGACGAAUACAUCGGAUUCUACUUUUUCGUGGGGGACAACGGAGGGCCACUUACGCUACCACCGCAUAUGUUCAACGGGUGUAAGCAGGGGAGCUUCGGACUUUUCGUGUCUGAAUGAGCUGAUGUCGGAUUAGCUAGUUGGGGUGGUAAAGGCCCACCAAGGCGACGAUGCGUAGCGGGUCUGAGAGGAUGAUCAGCCACACUGGAACUGAGACACGGUCCAGACUCCUACGGGAGGCAGCAGUGGGGAAUAUUCGACAAUGGGCGAAAGCCUGAUCCAGCCAUGCCGCGUGAGUGAAGAAGGCCUUCGGGUUGUAAAGCCCUUUUAUUAGGAAAGAAAAGCAGCGGAUUAAUACCCCGCUGUUCUGACGGUACCCAAAGAGUAAGCACCGGCUAACUUCGUG
rnacentral:rRNA from 1 species